CUGUUAACGAUGGCGAUAGUAGGGAAUAUAUCCGCCAACCUGCUUUGGACUAGCGGGGUGGAUCAAGAUCUGAUCCGUCUCCUACAUGGGACAAGAGGCCUAUGCCCAACAGUGGGAUAUUACACGCUGAAGCUU